CCAUUAGUACCGGUUCGUGGCACCAACCGGGACUAAAGGUCUCAUUUGAACCGGGACUAAUGCCUGUACGGUGCCCUAGCCGCCUGAACCAGACUAAUGCUCUUUUCUGGCCGAAUCAAAGCCAUGUUUUCUACUAGUGGAAGAGGACGACCCAUGAAGAGGCUGCACCGGUUCUGCGGCAACGUUGACCGCUACAAUUUCUUCACCGAGCUGGGGAANNNNNNNNNNCAUCUGGAAGGAUUUUAAUUUCUGAAGUUUUUAUCAUUUUCUUUUGCUUUUUACAAAACUGAAAAGGCGAUCCGGGGAGAGGGGGGUAGAGUUUGAAAAUGGGACCUUUAGUACCGGUUCGUGCCAUGAACCGGUACUAAUGCCUCAAACCCCAUUAGUACCGGUUGGUGGCUCAAAUCGGGACUAAAGGUCUCAUUUGAACCGGGACUAAUGCCUGUACGGUGCCCUAGCCGCCUGAACCAGACUAAUGCUCUUUUCUGGCCGAAUCAAAGCCAUGUUUUCUACUAGUGGAAGAGGACGACCCAUGAAGAGGCUGCACCGGUUCUGCGGCAACGUUGACCGCUACAAUUUCUUCACCGAGCUGGGGAAGAGAUAGACAUGUGGGUUAAUGGUGCUCGCUCAGGAUCCCCGCAGUGGCAUCUUGCAGAACUGCAGCGAGAGGGUGUCACACUUCAAUUCUUAUUCUAGCUAGCUCUCCUUCUCUGCUUGCGUUGGACUUGUUCUACAGCAGAGUAGAAUACAGUAGGGAGGGAGGCUAGAGGCUAGGGGAGAAUCUGGAGUGAGCUAGAGUGCCGUGCGUGCACUUUUAUCACGGGAAAGUUUGUCGCGGGUGGCAGUCGACACAGCCAGCGGGGGAGAAGUGCAAGCGGCGUCGGCCGGCCGUGACGGCGUCCAUUACCAAUGAUAUGGCAGAAUAAUGGCCCACCAAGACCGAUCGUGCGGCUGCGUCAAAACUCCGAACUUGAGCUAGCGGUGCCGUCGGCUGCUGAAUACUGUCGAGCACAAGGUCAAUAUGUACAGCUCUGAUUUUUUUUUUUUGCUGGAGUGAGCAUAGUUUUUUUUAGGGAAGAGUGAGCAUAGUUUUUCCGCGGUUAUAAUUGAAGUUCAACGAUAUCUUGCUGUCGAUUUUAUGUAAAGUUUAAGUUGAUGCUGCUGCAGGAUGUGGC
rnacentral:lncRNA from 1 species